UAAGAACAUAAGAAAAUUAUGUUGUUAUCAUAUUUAGGAUGAGUUUGAUAAUGAAUGUUAGUCUAUUGUGAACCUUGUGAAAGCAACCUGCUCAGGACAGCUCUGUUUUUUUAAGGUCUCUGGUGAGCGCCUAAGCACAUUUGGCCCUCCUGUUAUACACAUUUUUAUUGGUGUAUGAUGCUUAAUAUUGUUUUUGAAAGUUUAGGUAUUUUUAUGCCCCCCUUCCAAGAAGAGGGGGUAUAUUGUUUUGUAUACAUGUCGGUCACAUGUCAUAUAAAAUGGUUUCUGGAUGAUAAGUCAAGAAUGCUUACGCCUAGGAUCAUUAAACUUCAUAGGUACAUUGAUCAUGACUGGCAGAUGACCCCUAUUGAUUUUCAGGUCACUAGGUCAUAGGUCAAGGUCACAGUGACUCGAAACAGGAAAAUGGUUUCUUGAUGAUAACUCAAGAAUAAUUAGGCCUAGGAUCAUGAAACUUCAUAGGUACAUUGAUCAUGACUGGCAGAUGACCCCUAUUGAUUUUCAGGUCACUAGGUCAAAGGUCAAGGUCACAGUGACUCGAAAUAGUAAAAUGGUUUCCGGAUGAUAACUCAAGAAUGCUUAGGCCUAGGAUCAUGAAACUUCAUAGGUACAUUGAUCAUGACUGGCAGAUGACCCCUAUUGAUUUUCAGGUCACUAGGUCAAAGGUCAAGGUCACA